AGUAUACGAAGGCGUUUGAGUGAACAAUCAUUAAGGAACUCGGCAAACUAACUACCGUAACUUAGGGAUAAGGAGAGCCAUUCCUCCUGAUUAAUAUCAGGUAAAGAAUAGGAAGCAUGGAAUAGUGUUGUACGACUGUUUAAUUAAAACAAAGCACUCUGCAGUAAGAUAAUAAAUCAAAGUAUUGAGUGUGAUUUCUGCCCGAUGUCGGCUGGUUAACGGAUUUGUUAAGUUGACUAAUAUAAGCUUGACUUUGAAGGAAACCCCGAUCAAUGGCGGCCUUAUUUUGAGGGUCCUAAGGUAGCGGAAUACCCUGGCCGUUAAAUGCGGUCUUGCAUGAAUGAUUUAACGAUACAACAGCUGUCUCAAUGAUUGGCUCAGUGAAAUUGGAAUAACUGUGCAGAUACAGUUUACCUCUAGUUAGACGAGAAGACCCUAUGCAGCUUUACUGUUGCUAGUUAUUGGAUAUGAUUGAAUUAAUUUUAGUAGUAUAAGGUAAUUGGUUAGAUAAAAUUGAAAUACCUUUAUUUUGUUUGUCAUAUUGAUAGAUUUAAUCUAUUUUCUUAUUUAAAGAUAGGAAAUUACCCCUACUAUGUUAGGGGAACAAUGGCUAGGAGGCAGUUUAUGCGGGGCACAGAUCCCAUAAAAAGUACCUGGGUGUAUCCAAAGUUAAUUUUGUAAAAUUGACAUGACUUACUUCUAAAUAUAUUAUUUGGAAAUAAGUUUUCAUGACUAACAAUACAUUAUAUAUUUAAUGUAUUUAUUUUUAGUUUGUUAUUUGGUAUAGCUUAUGCUAUAACUAAUCCAGCUAUUUAUCUAUUAAGUUAGAAAUAUUUUUUUAUCCAAGUAAGAUUUUAUCUAUAUGGAAAAUAGAUGUAAUUAAAACAUUGAAGUAGAUAUCUAUCCAAUGUUUUUUAAUUUUUUUAUUAGGUGUAUUUGGUGAAACCAAACUACAAAUUGCUAAUAAGAUAAUUAUGUUUAUUACUUGUCAAGUUUAAUGGCUUAAUCUUGCUUUACUGUUUGACUUACACGUCUAUCAGUCGCGUAAGCGGGGCAUAUGAUCACAAGAUGCAGAAAGGAAAGGUCUUGGAUUUAUGAAAAAGCUACGCUAGGGAUGUUAGUCCUCCAAUGUUUAAGUCUACUAAUAUUUAAUAUUAAUUAGCCUUAAACUC
rfam:Pseudogymnoascus pannorum VKM F-4517 (FW-2822) contig_5673, whole genome shotgun sequence.